GUAACAUCCGGCAAUACGAAAUAAUUGAAGAGGCUUAGAAUUUGAAAUUUUCAUUUUUGGAAAGAAUUUUAAAGUUUUGGAAAUUUUGGCUAAGUAUGGAAAAUGUGAAUUUUUGGCCAACUUUGAACAGCCAUAAAUUCUAGCUCAGGAUGAGUUAGGUGGAAUUCCAGUUAUGGUUGCAAAGUUCGUGGAACGAUCUUUCCAACGCCACUGAGUUUGCUCGAUUCCGAGUUCGUAUGAGUGAGAUAUGCCCUUUGAAAGUUGGGCAGUUGACAAGGAAUUCCGUCCGGGAAUCAUUAAGGGCAUUUUGGUCUUUUCCCUAGCUAUUUCUUUUGAAGAUAUAUUGUUAUGUUAGGCUGAUAUUUGGAUCAUUUUAUCCAUUUUAAGAGAGUGAAGGCUAGGGCUUUGAGAGUGAAGAAGAGAGGAAGAAGAGAAGAAGGAGAAGGAGAAGAAGAAGGGAAGAAAGAGGAAGAUCAAGCAAGUUCCGUCAAGAUCAUCGUGGAUUUUUCGUCGGGGGUGAUCCCUACCAAGGUAUGUGAGCUUUUAGUGUUGGGUGAUCCUUUCCCCCACACACCUUGCCCCUUUUUCUUAUCAAGAAAGGAUUGGCCUUGUUGAUAAAGUUGUUAGUUGUUGUGGUUGAAGUUGUUGGAGUUGUUAAAGUUGUUAGUUGUUAGUUGUUGUUGUUGUUGGAAUUAUUGUGGGUUGUGAGACAUGAUUGG
rnacentral:lncRNA from 1 species